GCUAAACAGCUAGCUUAACCACUAAAAUAACUAAACAAUAUAAAUAAAUAAAACAAGCCUAACACCAUAAACUAAAACAUUCUCUUACCUGAGUAUGGGAGACAGAAAAGGUUCAACCAAAGCAAUAGAAAUAGUACCGCAAGGGAAAGCUGAAAGAGAAAUGAAAUAACCCAUAUAAGCACCAAAAAGCAAAGAUUAAACCCUGUACCUUUUGCAUCAUGAUUUAGCCAGUCCACCCAAGCAAAGAGACCUUCAGUUUGGAGCCCCGAAACCAGGUGAGCUACCCCGAGACAGCCUAUUAAGGGCCAACCCGUCUCUGUGGCAAAAGAGUGGGAAGAGCUCCGGGUAGAAGUGACAGACCUACCGAACCUGGUGAUAGCUGGUUACCUAAGAAAUGAAUAGAAGUUCAGCCUCAUACGCCUCAAAUCAAACAAACCAAGACACUAAGAGAAACACAUGAGAGUUAGUUAAAGGGGGUACAGCCCCUUUAACAAAGGACACAACCUUACCAGGAGAAUAAAGAUCAUAAUCCAUAAAACAUUCCGUUCUAGUGGGCCUAAAAGCAGCCACCUACACAGAAAGCGUUAAAGCUCAGACAGACAAAAGUUUAUUAUUCCGAUAAAAAAUCUUACUCCCCUAAAUAUUAUUAGGCCAAUCCAUGCCCCCAUGGAAAAGAUUAUGCUAAAAUGAGUAACAAGAAGGUCCGUCCUUCUCCCAGCACAAGUGCAAGCCAGACUGGACUAACCACUGGCAACUAACGAACUCAACCCAAGAGAGUAUUGCGAACCACAAAAAACCCAAGAAGAACCCGCAACCAAACAAUCGUUACCCCCACACUGGAGUGCUACUAUAGGAAAGACUAAAAGAAAAGGAAGGAACUCGGCAAACACAAGCCUCGCCUGUUUACCAAAAACAUCGCCUCCUGCAAUAAUCAAGUAUAGGAGGUCCAGCCUGCCCAGUGACCACAAGUUCAACGGCCGCGGUAUUUUGACCGUGCAAAGGUAGCGCAAUCACUUGUCUUUUAAAUAGAGACCUGUAUGAAUGGCUAAACGAGGGCUUAACUGUCUCCCUUUUCAGGUCAGUGAAAUUGAUCUACCCGUGCAGAAGCGGGUAUAGAAAUACAAGACGAGAAGACCCUUUGGAGCUUAAGGUACAAAACUCAAUCACGUCAAACAACUUGAUAAAAAGUAAAAACCUUGUGAAACAUGAGAUUUUACCUUCGGUUGGGGCGACCACGGAGGAAAAAUAAGCCUCCAAGUGGACCGGGACAAACUCCUAAAACCAAGAGAAACAUCUCUAAGCCACAGAACAUCUGACCAAACAUGAUCCGGCCACCAGGACCGAUCAACGAACCAAGUUACCCUAGGGAUAACAGCGCAAUCCCCUCCCAGAGUCCAUAUCGACGAGGGGGUUUACGACCUCGAUGUUGGAUCAGGACAUCCCAAUGGUGCAGCCGCUAUUAAGGGUUCGUUUGUUCAACGAUUAAAGUCCUACGUGAUCUGAGUUCAGACCGGAGCAAUCCAGGUCAGUUUCUAUCUGUAAACGCUACUUUUCCUAGUACGAAAGGAUCGGAAAAAGGGGGCCCAUACCAAGAGCACGCCCCACCCCCAAUUUAUGAAAACAAAUAAAUAAAGUAAGAGGGAGCCAAAACCCCAGCCAGCCGAAAUAAGGACAU
rnacentral:rRNA from 1 species